CCUACGGGAGGCAGCAGUAGGGAAUCUUCCACAAUGGGCGAAAGCCUGAUGGAGCAACGCCGCGUGCAGGAAGAAGGUCUUCGGAUUGUAAAACUCUGUUGUUAGAGAAGAAAGUCGGCGUGAGUAACUGUCCUCGUAUCGACGGUAUCUAACCAGAAAGCCACGGCUAACUACGUGCCAGCAGCCGCGGUAAUACGUAGGUGGCAAGCGUUAUCCGGAGUUAUUGGGCGUAAAGGCAGCGCAGGCGGUCUGUUAAGUCUGAUGUGAAAGACUUGGGCUUAACCGUCGUAGUGCAUUGGGAACCGGGGGGCUUGAGUGCAGGAGAGGAACGUGGAAUUCCAUGUGUAGCGGUGAAAUGCGUAGAUAUAUGGAAGAACACCAGUGGCGAAGGCGGCGCUAUGGAGUGCAACUGACGCUGAGGCUCGAAAGCGUGGGUAGCAAACAGGAUUAGAUACCCGAGUAGUC
rnacentral:rRNA from 1 species